UACGAAGGGGGCUAGCGUUGCUCGGAAUCACUGGGCGUAAAGCGCACGUAGGCGGAUUGCUAAGUCAGGGGUGAAAUCCUGGAGCUCGACUCCAGAACUGCCUUUGAUACUGGCGGUCUCGAGUCCGGGAGAGGUGAGUGGAACUGCGAGUGUAGAGGUGAAAUUCGUAGAUAUUCGCAAGAACACCAGUGGCGAAGGCGGCUCACUGGCCCGGUACUGACGCUGAGGUGCGAAAGCGUGGGGAGCAAACAGG
rnacentral:rRNA from 1 species